GUCUGUGUGAAGUUAUAUGGAGUCUAACCUGCCCAUUGAAUAAUUUAAAAGGCCGCAGUAUAUUAACUGUGCAAAGGUAGCAUAAUCAUUAGUUUUUUAAUUGGAGGCUUGUAUGAAGGGUUGGACAAAGAAUGAUCUGUUUCUAUUUUUAUUUUUGAAUUUAACUUUCAAGUGAAAAGGCUUGAGUAAGUUUAAGGGACGAUAAGACCCUAUAAAUCUUUAUAUUAAAUUGUUUAAUAUUUAAUUAAUAUUGUGUACUAGAUAUUUAAAUAAUAUAUAUUGUGUUGGGGUGACGAGAAUAUAAUAAAUAGCUGUUCUAAAGUAAAAACAAUUUUUAUUGUGGUAAUAGAAGAUCCUUUAUUGAGAUUGAAAGUUUAAGUUACUUUAGGGAUAACAGCGUUAUUUUUUUUGAGAGUUCUUAUCGAAAAAAAAGUUUGCGACCUCGAUGUUGAAUUAAAAUUUCUUUGUGGUGUAGCUGUUGCAUGAGAGAGUCUGUUCGACUUUUAAAUUUUU
rnacentral:rRNA from 1 species